CUACGAGGGGUCCAAGCGUUGCUCGGAAUCAUUGGGCGUAAAGCGGGUGUAGGCGGUUUUAUAAGUCAGAAGUGAAAGCCCUGGGCUCAACCCAGGAAGUGCUUUUGAUACUAUUUAACUCGAGUAUGGGAGAGGGAAGCAGAAUUCCUGGUGUAGUGGUGAAAUACGUAGAUAUCAGGAGGAACACCGGAGGCGAAGGCGGCUUCCUGGCCCAAUACUGACGCUCAGACCCGAAAGCGUGGGUAGCAAACAGGAUUAGAAACCCUUGUAGUCC
rnacentral:rRNA from 1 species